AAGAAAUCAACCGAGAUUCCCCCAGUAGCGGCGAGCGAACGGGGAGCAGCCCAGAGCCUGAAUCAGUGUGUGUGUUAGUGGAAGCGUCUGGAAAGGCGCGCGAUACAGGGUGACAGCCCCGUACACAAAAAUGCACAUGCUGUGAGCUCGAUGAGUAGGGCGGGACACGUGGUAUCCUGUCUGAAUAUGGGGGGACCAUCCUCCAAGGCUAAAUACUCCUGACUGACCGAUAGUGAACCAGUACCGUGAGGGAAAGGCGAAAAGAACCCCGGCGAGGGGAGUGAAAAAGAACCUGAAACCGUGUACGUACAAGCAGUGGGAGCACGCUUAGGCGUGUGACUGCGUACCUUUUGUAUAAUGGGUCAGCGACUUAUAUUCUGUAGCAAGGUUAACCGAAUAGGGGAGCCGAAGGGAAACCGAGUCUUAACUGGGCGUUAAGUUGCAGGGUAUAGACCCGAAACCCGGUGAUCUAGCCAUGGGCAGGUUGAAGGUUGGGUAACACUAACUGGAGGACCGAACCGACUAAUGUUGAAAAAUUAGCGGAUGACUUGUGGCUGGGGGUGAAAGGCCAAUCAAACCGGGAGAUAGCUGGUUCUCCCCGAAAGCUAUUUAGGUAGCGCCUCGUGAAUUCAUCUCCGGGGGUAGAGCACUGUUUCGGCAAGGGGGUCAUCCCGACUUACCAACCCGAUGCAAACUGCGAAUACCGGAGAAUGUUAUCACGGGAGACACACGGCGGGUGCUAACGUCCGUCGUGAAGAGGGAAACAACCCAGACCGCCAGCUAAGGUCCCAAAGUCAUGGUUAAGUGGGAAACGAUGUGGGAAGGCCCAGACAGCCAGGAUGUUGGCUUAGAAGCAGCCAUCAUUUAAAGAAAGCGUAAUAGCUCACUGGUCGAGUCGGCCUGCGCGGAAGAUGUAACGGGGCUAAACCAUGCACCGAAGCUGCGGCAGCGACGCUGAUGCGUUGUUGGGUAGGGGAGCGUUCUGUAAGCCUGCGAAGGUGUGCUGUGAGGCAUGCUGGAGGUAUCAGAAGUGCGAAUGCUGACAUAAGUAACGAUAAAGCGGGUGAAAAGCCCGCUCGCCGGAAGACCAAGGGUUCCUGUCCAACGUUAAUCGGGGCAGGGUGAGUCGACCCCUAAGGCGAGGCCGAAAGGCGUAGUCGAUGGGAAACAGGUUAAUAUUCCUGUACUUGGUGUUACUGCGAAGGGGGGACGGAGAAGGCUAUGUUGGCCGGGCGACGGUUGUCCCGGUUUAAGCGUGUAGGCUGGUUUUCCAGGCAAAUCCGGAAAAUCAAGGCUGAGGCGUGAUGACGAGGCACUACGGUGCUGAAGCAACAAAUGCCCUGCUUCCAGGAAAAGCCUCUAAGCAUCAGGUAACAUCAAAUCGUACCCCAAACCGACACAGGUGGUCAGGUAGAGAAUACCAAGGCGCUUGAGAGAACUCGGGUGAAGGAACUAGGCAAAAUGGUGCCGUAACUUCGGGAGAA
rnacentral:rRNA from 1 species